UACAAUCCGGACCUGACAAAUGCCACUUCUAAUGCCAAAGAGUCCCACGUGGAUCUUAAGCCACAAAAAAGAAAAUCAGCUAGCCUUCGUACUUGAAAGACAAUUUUGGAAAGGAAGAUGAUUUCAAUGAUUAACUCACCCAAGUCGCUGACGCAGGGCAGGCGCUUUGCGGAAUGGGUCCUUGUGCCAUGUAGUUCAGUGGAGGAGAGUUAAUACGUGCUGGAAGAGCUGAAAAAGUAAGCACGUGACAAGGAGGCCACCCAGAGAUUAGACGCAGGAGAAGAAAGUUGCAAUGCCAUUGGGGCCAGACAGACAGAAGGAAGAGGCGAUACUACCAGAGCAAGAGAAUCCGGACACUCUGGGGGACAUGGAGCACCACAUAGGGGUGGGAAAUGCUGCCUGAGGGUAGCUGGGACCAGAGUGGGGCCAUCAGGGAGCACUGCCUUUCCGCUGACCGGAGGGCAUAGGAAAAAUACCUGGGAACUUAAAUAGAAUCCAGUUGGCAAUGGAACAUGGGAAAUGCAGUUCGAAGGGAAACAUGGAAAGAGGUAUUAAUGAGCAAUUGCCCAGCACUACCUCAAGCCCUGGUUUGAGAGAAAAAAAGAAAAUGAGAAAGCAACAUUGAUUAGGGCCCUACACCUAUCCUGUAUCUAAAGAAAUGAACAUGUCUUUGAAUGAUCCCAGUAACACCAACUCACUAAACUUCUUUAACUUCACUUUGACAUCCAUCAAGUAGAGAUGACAAUGGAAUCUACCACGUGGAGAUGCAAGGUGGCUUUAAUGAUCUACCCCACGCCAAGCAGCUAGCACUGUGCGUGGCACAUAAGUGUCGAAUAAAUGCUCAUGCUCAUUGGAACAUUUUGAGAUUCGGAUUCUCUUUGAGUGUCUGGAAGCCCAUUAAAAGUCUUGCUCAAA